rnacentral:lncRNA from 1 species
CUUAAAUCCCGAAGAAACCCCUUAUUAACCCACCUUAAACCCCACUUAAACCUCUUCCUCUCUAUAUCUCCUUCUCAGUAUGAAAAGGUGUCGACUGAUUAGAGACUGCAACCUCCAGGCAGAGCACAGAAAAACAGUAACAAAGUUUGCAAAUAAAAAUUAGUGAAAAGAAACCAAAAAUUCAGAGUACGAAUCAGAAAAAAACAAUGAAAUCAAAAACAGAUGGAUUAUGAGAGUGAAAUGAUUUCAGAUGAUUUGAUGAAGUGUGAAUUAAGAAAAGAAAGAAAGAAACAGAAUAAAAUAAAAUAAAAAUGGAAGAACUGGAAACGGAAAGAAGAAUGAAUUGAAGAACAAGAGCUCAAGCUCAGUUUGUACAAGCUUUGAACCAAAGGAGAAAAUACAGACUAGAUCAUUGAUACCCCUCUUUUCCUCCACCACAAGCUUAUAAAGACAGCUAAAGUUACAGUUGUCCCUAUCUAAUUCUCCCGCCCAAGCCUAAUUCUGUUACAAUUUCAAACACCUUGCUAACAUCAGCCUAACUAAUCUACUAUUACAGCUGGAACCAUCUUCCUGACUUACUGCCUCGAUGACUAUCAAUUAUAACAGAGAGAUUAGAUGUGGAGUCGACGAAUAAGGGUUGAAGAGAGACUUCGCUGAAGAGAAGAAGGAGGACGAAUAUAAGGGUUGAAGAGAGACUUCUAUUUUCAUGCUAAAUAUUCAACAAUACUGUAUCACAAAAAAUUUCACAUAAUG